GUGGAUAACUGGAGGGUUCCGGGGCUGGGGUCAGUUGUUGCUGAGGCUACCUGGCCUGGAGGGUCAGAACUUAGGGUGAAGGGUCAGGUAGGGGUCAUGGUGCCGUGUCUACCUGGCCCGGAGAGUCAGGACAGGGCUCAGGGUCAGGUAGGGGUCAUGGUGCCGUGUCUACCUGGCCCGGAGGGUCAGGACAGGGCUCAGGGUCAGGUAGGGGUCAUGGUGCCGUGUCUACCUGGCCUGGAGGGUCAGGACAGGGCUCAGGGUCAGGUAGGGGUCAUGGUGCCGUGUCUACCUGGCCUGGAGGGUCAGGACAGGGCUCAGGGUCAGGUAGGGGUCAUGAUGCCGUGUCUACCUGGCCUGGAGGGUCAGGACAGGGCUCGCGGUCAGGUAGGGGUCAUGGUGCCGUGUCUACCUGGCCUGGAGGGUCAGGACAGGGCUCGGGGUCAGGUAGGGGUCAUGGUGCCGUGUCUA